AGAAAAUGCAUAAUAAACUUUGCCAUUUCUAAUCGUUCAGUUUCAUACAUUAACCUGCAAACUCUUCAACAUCACAGAAGUACAAAAACCUCCUUAACUUUUGUGUGUUUGGUGACUUGAUUCACAACUUUGGAACCCCAUCUGCACCGCAUCGACGCACCCUUCAGUAUUAAGUAGAGUAAAUGUUAUAUCACCCCCUUGGGGUCUCCCAAAGCUAUUACGCCAGACUACAUUAAACGGAAGGUCAAUUGACUGUGAAUUGGAAAGCUCACAAAUUAGGCUUCUAAUUUAAAUGUCGGCUAAUGUUAACAUAUCGAUGCCUCAAAAACGUAUCGAGAAAAUAGUGUGCUGAUCGAUAAUCGCUAUAUUAUGACAUUCUGAGAAUUUUUAAUGCAAGCAUUCAUCAUUUUUUAAUUAUGGCUAAUAUUUUAAACAUUUUGCAGUUACAAAUGUACUUUUGUUUGCAUAUUGCAAUUUUAAUAACAUUUAUUGUGAAAAUGUAUUGUCUAAAUGCAUCAAAGUCAUGGCUGUUGCAGUCAGUAUUUUUUGGUUGCUGUGACCAUUGUUUCAAUUUGAGAAGUAGAAAGUGAUGUAGUUAAUUAUUAAUUAAUAAUGACAGAAACUUUAACAUUUAUUCCUGAUGGUUUAUGUUGUAUUACUUUAAACGGACAUCAUUUAUAGGGACAGAAAUCUUUUUAUGUAUAGCUGAUAUAGGUUAAAACCAGCAUUCAGAUAACACACAGUGACUCGAAUACUUAAAUAUAGGAACCUUUCCUUUAGUAAACUGCCAUUUGUGUGAAUGUGCACAAUAAAGUGCAGAGCAGUUUAUUAUAGUUAGUUUUUCUAUUGUUUUCUAACAUUGGUUAGAUAAACCUAAAUAUCCACUUAAAUCUGGAUCUAAAGUAAUUAAAAACAUAUUUGUGUGUUGACAAAGCUUGUGGAUGACAUUCUUGACUUCACAUCAUGUGCAAAACGCCUGGGGAAGCCGUCAGCUGCAGAUCUCAAACUGGGCCUGGCCACUGGUCCUGUUCUGUUUGCUUGCCAGCAGUUUCCGGAGCUUCAUGCAAUGAUCAUGCGCCGUUUCAGCUCAGAUGGAGAUGUGGAUCGAGCCUGGCAAUAUGUCCUGAAGAGUGACGGUGUGGAACAGACUAACUACCUCGCCCAACACUACUGCCAAGAGGCCAUCCGUCAGAUCAGUCAGCUGCGGCCAUCAACAGAGCGAGAUGCACUGAUCCGACUGACCGAGCUGGUGCUGAGCCGGGACAAGUGAACCUGGAUCCAGUGCUCCAUACUCAGGCAGCUACACCUCUGCUGGGCCUCCACUCAAACAGAGAACAAAGAAUUAUUUAUUUAUGCCAUUGUUGCUGUAUAAUUUACCGUACUGUAAUCGCAGAGCGCCUGCUGUCCAAUCACAGAACCCUGAGCUGUGUCACCACUGCACGGGAUGUAUGACCGGUGCUGUUGAAGGAGAUCUACAGGAUCAUUGUAAUUCCAUGUGUCGCACAGAUUGAGGUGCUACUGUCAUGUGUGUGUCUAUGUGGAUCUGUUACAGAUAACAUAAACAUCCGUCCAAACUACAAGGGCCAAACAUCUUAGAUUUUAUUGAAAGAUGUUGUCAAUGUACUUAUCACAUCAAGUGCUCAAUAACUUUCAAGGCCUUACACCACUGGCUAUGUACUUAAAUAAAAUUAAAUAAGGUAUUUUUUAAAGUAAACAUCGAGUCUUGUUUUUCCAUUUAAGCUGUGACUUAGUGGUGAUCAGGAGUGCUUUGACAAAUUUAGCUGUUAUGCAUCACAUUCCAUAAAUGGGGUACAAAUUGGCUUCCAGUUACUUUUCUGUAAGAAAUAAUGGCACAAAUCCCAUGUUCCUUGAAUUCUAAGUACAUUAGAUAAUCUACUAUCUAACAUGUUACCAUAGCAUGAAAAGAAGCUGGUUUUAAACACAUUAAAUGUCUAAACUUGUGACACCCAGAUUGUAACAUUGUCAUUCAUUUGGACUCUUUCUACAGCAGGCAGGAAGUAAAUAAUCUCAUUUCAUUUUCUCA